rnacentral:rRNA from 1 species
UUGGAGGGCAAGUCUGGUGCCAGCAGCCGCGGUAAUUCCAGCUCCAAUAGCGUAUAUUAAAGUUGUUGCAGUUAAAAAGCUCGUAGUUGAAUUUCGGGAUCAGUACGCUGGUCAUGCCUUCGGUAUGUACUGGUGUUACUGGUUCCUACCUUCUGACGAACCGUCAUGUCAUUAAUUUGGUGUGGCGGGGAAUCAGGACUGUUACUUUGAAAAAAUUAGAGUGUUUAAAGCAGGC